AACGAACGCUGGCGGCAUGCCUAACACAUGCAAGUCGAACGAGACCUUCGGGUCUAGUGGCGCACGGGUGCGUAACGCGUGGGAAUCUGCCCUUGGGUUCGGAAUAACAGUUAGAAAUGACUGCUAAUACCGGAUAAUGUCUUCGGACCAAAGAUUUAUCGCCCAGGGAUGAGCCCGCGUAGGAUUAGCUAGUUGGUGAGGUAAAGGCUCACCAAGGCGACGAUCCUUAGCUGGUCUGAGAGGAUGAUCAGCCACACUGGGACUGAGACACGGCCCAGACUCCUACGGGAGGCAGCAGUGGGGAAUAUUGGACAAUGGGCGAAAGCCUGAUCCAGCAAUGCCGCGUGAGUGAUGAAGGCCUUAGGGUUGUAAAGCUCUUUUGUCCGGGAAGAUAAUGACUGUACCGGAAGAAUAAGCCCCGGCUAACUUCGUGCCAGCAGCCGCGGUAAU
rnacentral:rRNA from 1 species